rnacentral:rRNA from 1 species
AUUGAACGCUGGCGGCAUGCCUAACACAUGCAAGUCGAACGGAGUGGCGGACGUGUGAGUAAUGUAUGUGAACGUGCCCAGUGGCGGGGGAUAACUACUGGAAAGAGUGGCUAAUACCGCAUACCUUUGGAGUGUCCGGGAUGGGAUUAGCUAUUGGGUGGGGUAAAGGCUAACCAAGGCGACGAUCCGUAGACGGUUUGAGAGGACGACCGGCCAAACGGGAACUGAGACACGGCCCAGACUCCUACGGGAGGAAGCAGUGGGGAAUUUUGGACAAUGGGGGAAAGCCUGAUGCAGCCAUGCCGCGUGUAUGAUGAAGGCCUUCGGGUUGUAAAGUACUUUUGGCGGGGAGGCGGUACCUGCAGAAGAAGCACCGGCUAACUACGUGCCAGCAGCCGCGGUAAUAC